GAUGAACGCUAGCGGCAGGCCUAACACAUGCAAGUCGAGGGGUAGUUACUUUCGGGUAAUGAGACCGGCGCACGGGUGCGUAACGCGUAUGCAAUCUACCUUUUACAGGGGAAUAGCCCAGAGAAAUUUGGAUUAAUGCCCCAUAGUAUGUAUGAAUCGCAUGGUUUAUACAUUAAAGUUCCAACGGUAAAAGAUGAGCAUGCGUCCCAUUAGUUAGUUGGUAAGGUAACGGCUUACCAAGACGAUGAUGGGUAGGGGUUCUGAGAGGGAGAUCCCCCGCACUGGUACUGAGACACGGACCAGACUCCUACGGGAGGCAGCAGUGAGGAAUAUUGGACAAUGGGCGCAAGCCUGAUCCAGCCAUGCCGCGUGCAGGAAUAAGGUCCUAUGGAUUGUAAACUGCUUUUAUACAGGAAGAAACACACCCUCGUGAGGGUACUUGACGGUACUGUAUGAAUAAGGACCGGCUAACUCCGUGCCAGCAGCCGCGGUAAAGUGACU
rnacentral:rRNA from 1 species